GACGAACGCUGGCGGCGUGCUUAACACAUGCAAGUCGAACGCGCCUGUCCUCUGGGUUUCUGGGGGGUGGGUGAGUGGCGAACGGGUGAGUAACACGUGAGUAACCUGCCCCCUUCUUCGGGAUAACGGUCUGAAAGGGCUGCUAAUACCGGGUAUUCACUGGUCUCCGCAUGGGGUCUGGUGGAAAGGUUUUUUUCUGGUGGGGGAUGGGCUCGCGGCCUAUCAGCUUGUUGGUGGGGUGAUGGCGCACCAAGGCUUUGACGGGUAGCCGGCCUGAGAGGGUGACCGGUCACAUUGGGACUGAGAUACGGCCCAGACUCCUACGGGGGGCAGCAGGGGGGAAUAUUGCACAAUGGGCGCAAGCAUGAUGCAGCGACGCCGCGUGAGGGAUGGAGGCCUUCGGGUUGUGAACCUCUUUCGCCCGUGGUCAAGCCGCGACGUGGGUCGUGGUGAGGGUAGUGGGUAAAGAAGCGCCGGCUAACUACGUG
rnacentral:rRNA from 1 species